rnacentral:rRNA from 1 species
UACGGAGGGAGCUAGCGUUAUUCGGAAUUACUGGGCGUAAAGCGCACGUAGGCGGCUUUGUAAGUUAGAGGUGAAAGCCUGGUGCUCAACACCAGAACUGCCUUUAAGACUGCAUCGCUUGAAUCCAGGAGAGGUGAGUGGAAUUCCGAGUGUAGAGGUGAAAUUCGUAGAUAUUCGCAAGAACACCAGUGGCGAAGGCGGCUCACUGGCCCGAUACUGACGCUGAGGCACGAAAGCGUGGGGAGCAAACAGGG